rnacentral:rRNA from 1 species
UACGGAGGGUGCGAGCGUUGUCCGGAAUCACUGGGCGUAAAGGGCGCGUAGGCGGCUUCUCAAGCGUGUGGUGAAAGUCCGGGGCUCAACCCCGGAUCGGCCGUGCGGACUGGGGAGCUCGAGUUCUGUAGAGGCGGGUGGAGUUCCGGGUGUAGCGGUGGAAUGCGUAGAGAUCCGGAAGAACACCGGUGGCGAAGGCGGCCCGCUGGGCAGAGACUGACGCUGAGGCGCGACAGCGUGGGGAGCAAACAGG